rnacentral:rRNA from 1 species
UACGGAGGGUGCAAGCGUUAUUCGGAAUUACUGGGCGUAAAGCGCGUGCAGGCGGGUGUAGAAGUCUGAUGUGAAAGCCCCGGGCUCAACCUGGGAAGUGCAUUGGAAACUCUACAUCUUGAGUGCUGGAGAGGAAGGGGGAAUUCCCGGUGUAGAGGUGAAAUUCGUAGAGAUCGGGAGGAAUACCAGUGGCGAAGGCGCCCUUCUGGACGGCAACUGACGCUGAGACGCGAAAGCGUGGGGAGCAAAC